rnacentral:rRNA from 1 species
UUUUGACCUCGGAUCAGGUAGGGAUACCCGCUGAACUUAAGCAUAUCAAUAAGCCGGAGGA